AUUGAACGCUGGCGGCAGGCCUAACACAUGCAAGUCGAGCGAGCGGCGGACGGGUGAGUAAUGUCUGGGAAACUGCCUGAUGGCGGGGGAUAACUACUGGAAACGGUAGCUAAAGCCGCAUACCAUCAGAUGUGCCCAGAUGGGAUUAGCUAGUAGGUGGGGUAACGGCCCACCUAGGCAUCGAUCCCUAGCUGGUCUGAGAGGGUGACCAGCAACACUGGAACUGAGACACGGUCCAGACUCCUACGGGAGGCAGCAGUGGGGAAUAUUGCACAAUGGGCGCAAGCCUGAUGCAGCCAUGCCGCGUGUGUGAAGAAGGCCUUCGGAUUGUAAAGCACUUUCAGCGGGGAGGCGUUACCCACAGAAGAAGCACCGGCUAACUCCGUGCCAGCAGCCGCGGUAAUAC
rnacentral:rRNA from 1 species